UGGGGUAUCGCCAAGCGGUCCGGAUUCUGAUUCCGGCAUUCCGAGGUUCGAAUCCUCGUACCCCAGCCA
rnacentral:tRNA from 1 species